GGUAGUCCACGCCGUAAACGAUGAGUGCUAAGUGUUAGGGGGUUUCCGCCCCUUAGUGCUGCAGCUAACGCAUUAAGCACUCCGCCUGGGGAGUACGGUCGCAAGACUGAAACUCAAAGGAAUUGACGGGGGCCCGCACAAGCGGUGGAGCAUGUGGUUUAAUUCGAGGCAACGCGAAGAACCUUACCAGGUCUUGACAUCCCGUUGACCACUGUAGAGAUAUGGUUUCCCCUUCGGGGGGCAACGGUGACAGGUGGUGCAUGGUUGUCGUCAGCUCGUGUCGUGAGAUGUUGGGUUAAG
rnacentral:rRNA from 1 species